UACGUAGGGUGCGAGCGUUAAUCGGAAUUACUGGGCGUAAAGCGUACGCAGGCGGCUUGGUAAGACAGGUGUGAAAUCCCCGGGCUUAACCUGGGAACCGCAUUUGUGACUGCCUGGCUAGAGUCCGUUAGAGGGGGGUGGAAUUCCACGUGUAGCAGUGAAAUGCGUAGAGAUGUGGAGGAACACCGAUGGCGAAGGCAGCCCCCUGGAAUGAGACUGACGCUCAUGUACGAAAGCGUGGGGAGCAAACAGG
rnacentral:rRNA from 1 species